CCUACGGGAGGCUGCAGUGGGGAAUAUUGCACAAUGGGGGAAACCCUGAUGCAGCGACGCCGCGUGAGUGAAGAAGUAUUUCGGUAUGUAAAGCUCUAUCAGCAGGGAAGAAAAUGACGGUACCUGAUUAAGAAGCCCUGGCUAACUACGAGCCAGCAGCCGCGGUAAUACGAAGGGGGCAAGCGUUAUCCGGAUUUACUGGGUGGAAAGGGAGCGUAGACGGGAGCACAAGUCUGGAGUGAAAUGCCGGGGCUUAACCGCGGAACUGCUUGGGAAACUGUGCAGCUAGAGUGCAGGAGAGGUAAGUGGAAUUCGUAGUGUAGCGGUGAAAUGCGUAGAUAUUAGGAGGAACACCGGUGGCGAAGGCGGCUUACUGGACUGUAACUGACGUUGAGGCUCGAAAGCGUGGGGAGCAAACAGGAUUAGAUACCCCAGUAGUC
rnacentral:rRNA from 1 species